UCCGUAGGGUGCAAGCGUUGUCCGGAAUUAUUGGGCGUAAAGAGCUCGUAGGCGGUCUGUUGCGUCGGCUGUGAAAACCCGGGGCUCAACUCCGGGCCGGCAGCCGAUACGGGCAGACUAGAGUUCGGCAGGGGAGACUGGAAUUCCUGGUGUAGCGGUGAAAUGCGCAGAUAUCAGGAGGAACACCGGUGGCGAAGGCGGGUCUCUGGGCCGAUACUGACGCUGAGGAGCGAAAGCGUGGGGAGCGAACAGG
rnacentral:rRNA from 1 species